GGCCGGGUGGCGCAAUGGUAGCGCGCUGCCUUCCGGUGUGGAUGUGGCAGUGGUUGCGUGUUCGAGUCACGUCUCGGUCG
rnacentral:tRNA from 1 species